AUGGCUUGGGUUCUUAUUCUUCGCAGCAUUCGAUAUGAAGAUUACGUUGACGGGGUGACUCCUCCGGCAUUCGUUUGCUUAUUGGCUUAACCGUAUUCUCAGCUUUGCUUAAUCAAAUCCAUCCCCAUUUUUUAUGUCCACCUAUUAUGGAACGGAAGAAAAACUUUGACAUUUCUUCCUUAAAAAAAAUUCAAAAACACUUCUGAGCACAUGUUGCGUAAAGAGUGCAGAUGGCGGUACAUUGUUGGGUGACCUUUGAUUCAGGGAAGUACUGUAGAUAUGACAUCUUUUGAAACAGAUGCUAAUAUUGAUGACUAAUCACAAAUAGAGGUCAACAGAAAAAUAUUGGAAAAUCAUAUUGGUCCCAUAUUGCUUCAUUGAUUGUGGAGCACCCAGUACCAAAAUAUGUAACACCUACGUACUAUUGAAAUAUUGGGAAAUUUGUCACGAAAAAUUCGCAUACCUCCUAUAACGAUCGAUAGCUACGCUUUGAAGUGGGAAAGAUAAGGUCUUUUGGACAUGGAACCUCUUUAAGAGAUUUGCCUUCAUUCCCAUCAAAUGAUUGCAUUGAAAAGAGCUUUGAACAAGAAGCUCACUCCACUCUCAAUGAGUGCAUUUUUCUCUCAUGUGGGAUGUGAGGUUCCUCUUUUUCAAUCACACGCACACACAUGGUUGGGAUCCUUGGUGCAAGAUCUGCCGGUUUGCCAAGUUCUUCCUGGAUAUGCACUUGCAUACCAAAAAAUAAAUCGGAGAGAAAAUUGAAGUAGGCCCCAAAAAUGUUGAAAUUGCCACUUCCACAUUUUCAAGAUCAAGCAAGUAAUCAAGCAAGCAGCCAUGAGAGUAUUUGAUUUGCAGGACCAGGAGGAACUUGCAAAGGGGUCUGGUUAUUCCGUUUGGCAAAUCAUGACUCUUUUAUAUAGGUUCCCAAAUAACUUUGUUGCCUUGUCAAGACUGGCAUUCGUAUUCAAUUGGAUAUUAAGAGGAUAGGAAAUGAACAUCACGUGAUGGGCAGACAUUCAUUCAAUUCCCCUCGUCUCGUCUCCUUCGUCAAGGAUGAAAGAAAAUCAAUUCAAAUCCCACAGGAAAUUCUAUCACUCUCCCGCUGAGGGCUAAACACCAACUCUACCUACGAAGCAUUGUACCGUGGACGAAAGUAUAAUCCGUGUUGUCUUUUUCUUGCAUUACCAUGUGGAAGGGUCUAGCCUAUUUUUUCGGUGACUUACGUUAUUACCGUCACGGUUGCGAGCCUUUCAUCCUAUUUGUGGAUAGAUCAAAUAGGAAGUAUCACAAACACUAGUCACUACAUACUUGUAUCGCCGGUUAUAUGCCGUAUAGAACCGGCGCAUAAAUUGAGUCUCUACCAAGACGAAUGGGAUCAAAACGAUCAGGCCUUCUGGUAAAAGAGAGACAAUCAAUUUCACGUUACAUAGCUGUCGGCUUUUCAGUGUAUUGAAAUUCCGUGUCUCUUGAUUGCUCGUCUCCAAGAAUUUCCAACUAUAGGCCGACGAACCCUCUACAUAGAGAAUCAGUUGAGCAUGAGUGGACCAAGGCACAUAACAAAGAAGAUGUUGAUUUGAAAUAGAAAUAGAUAUUCAGUCUUACCUGUUUGGAGUGACAGGACUGAUGGAGGAAGGCGGCACUGUUGAUGUUCCGUUCACGUUUGGGGAAUUCACAUGAUGAGGAACGUUAGACAA